GUGGGGGAUGGCCGAGCUCUUGGACUCCCCGGGUGUCGACCCGCCUGUAGUCAGGGCCGGGGUCGCGGGGCCUUUGUGCCCAGCUGGCAGCUUGCUCGGGGUGACCGGCCUGUGAGUGGGGCCUAGGUCCGAGUGGCCCCGACGCUGAGAAGAGGAGCCUCCCGCGGGCCCAGGGCUGCCCUGUGACUCGGGGACUGGCUGGGGUGCCGAGGGCUGUGCUGUCCAGCCGGUGGCGCGAGCCGCCUGUAGGCAGGGGUGAAGUCUCUUUGGCCACCGCUGGUCAUGGCCAGCUACGGGUGCCCAGAGUGCCAGCCUCCCAGCCACGCUUCAGCACCGCCCUCGGGCAUCCCGCAGCCCCAGCUGCGGUGCAGGCGGCCGGACACCUGCUGUCCCGAAGACGGGCCAGUCGAGUCGGCAGCAGUUGCUGGUUCACAACACCAGGAAUUGUACCCCCAGGCCUCAAGUCUCCUGCUCAACCCUGCAGUGGCAGGCACCAGGUGCCGCACCUGCUCCAGAUGCGGAAGCAAGUGGGGAAGAAGAUCCUGCCCUGCAAUACGGAUAGCUCUGAUUACUCUCAGCUCCAGAGUCUCGAAGAACAGCUCCCUUCUGGGUCUUUAGAAAGCUUCUGCCUGCACACUUCUGGCAGGGAGAACAGAGAUUUCCCCGUGGCAUACACUUUGCAAAUUUCAAACCCACCUCUGCUUGAAUUCCUGCCAACAAAAUUGCACUACACAUGCAAUUUUAGCUUUGUGCCAGUCACUGGAGUGUUUUGGCUGUGGUGAGGACACAGGUGGUGGUGGGAGCAGAAUGCGUAAGGCGGACUUUCAGGGAGAACCUGAGCUUUUUUGUUCAGGAGUUUGCUGAUGUUGCAUUCUGACUGUGACAGUUUUCCAGCAGGAGUUGGUCAGACUAACACUGCAGGAAGAGUGGCUUAUUUUGCGAAGGCUUGCCUAUGAGGUGCAGUAUGGGAAGUGGGAGAGCAGUUUAGUGCGAAUGGAUGAAAUCUGGGCAGGUUGUAGGUAGGUUUUGAGCAGGUUGUAGGUGCCCGUUAGGUGCAGCGUAGAGGGCAAAGUUGACUUGGUGUGUGUGGUGCAAUGGGAUUGGUGUGGAAAGCUGCUCAGAGGUGGGUUUUGCGAGUGACGCCAAGAUCCACGACCCAGCUGCCUACUUCAGGCCUUUUUCCUCUGCCUACCUGGGCUGAGGAGGGCCGUGCAGAGCUGCACUGUUACCGGGUCCCACAGGAGUGGACCAGUGCCGGCUCGAACCAAGGCAAAUUCCCGAAAAACCGUAACGAAGGGGGAGAAGAUCUGGAGCUGAAUCAGAACAUAGACCACUGUGCAAAGGGGCCACGCUUCAACAGCCAACUACCCCACACUUGGAAGACGGUGGCCCAACACUGGGUGUGUGCGUCACCGUGAGAUUGCAGGAGCAGCUGCAGGAGAAGGCCUGGAUGGAGGGAGUGGCCAAGGCAAGCGGCUCUCAGAGAAGAAAGAAGAGGAAGUCCAUAGUGAGCUUGAAAAGCCAAAGAGGAAGAUUUGAAGGCUGAACGGGGGGGGCCUCAAGAGGGGGCAAGAAGAGAGGAAGGAGAGCGGAAGAGCGGAAGACUGAAGCGGAGGGAAGAGCAAGGCACUCUGGGCACAGGGACCUCCCUGUAAGCAGGGCUCAGGUCCGCUGAGAGCAUCGCUGGCACUGUUGGUGCCCUUUGUUACUUUGCGCUGGGCGCCCUGCCUGCAGCCAGGGCUCGGGUCUUUGAUGUUUCUUGGUGGCCUUUUUGCCACGUGGCUCCUUCAGCUGCCUGGGGAGAGUGACGACCCUGUAAGGAGGGUGAGAGGCGCUCUCCCCUCACCCGCGGGGGAACUUGAGCUCUCUGGACCCCCUUCCCACCCUGUAAGCAGGGGUGGGCCCCUCGCCCCGCGGCUUUCCGCCUGCUGACAACCUGGCCAGCGUGACGGCCCCGUAAGCGGGGUGUCUGUCACAGCAUCUGCCUUUGGGCAAGCUCUGAGGCGCCUGGUGAUGGUGAGGGCUCUGGCCUCCGUGCGAGCUGGGGGCAAGUCGGAGCCUCUCUCGUGCUCGUGGGUGAGCGUCUGGGGGCGUUGAUCUCGGCUGCCCUGGGUCCUCUUGCCCUCCUGGAAAGUCAUGUUUGCGUGCGUGUGCGCGUGUUGGUGUGCGUGCCUGGGGGUGAGUGAGUGAGCGAGCUUGCGCUUAGGCUCCAUGUGCUAAUACUGCAGCGUACCUAACCUACACUUCCCAGGAGAGCAAGCGGAAGUCUGGGUGCAGCAGGAGCUCGAUGCUGCCUGGUGCCCUGCGUCGCGGGAGAGCCCAGGCCUGGCCCUGGCUGCCGGAGGGCAGAGUUAAGCCACUCACAAAGGCGGUGGGCGGUGCGACCUGCCCGUAGUGAGGGCCUAGGUCUCUGCCGGCAUGGCGCUCUGUCCUGCUGGCAGGCUGGCCAGCGUGACAAGCCUGUGAGCAGGGCGAGCGUCACGAGCUGUGGAGCCCCGUGUCACCCGGAGCAGCUUGCCCUCCCCGUAAGUGGGGGCCGGGGUGCCGGCACAGGAGUGCGGCCUGCUGCUGUAGCCAGCAACGAGGAAUGACCCCUCCCUGCCCCUUUAGAAGAGGGCAGGUUGAGGAAGCGCUCUGCAAGAGGGGCCGGCGCAGGACAGCCUGCCGCCUGUUCUCCUGGUGGGACCUGCCCGCGGCCGGGGCUGAGGCGGGUGCCUGGGCUCCCGAAGACGAGGCGUUGUGCGUCAGCCAGCACGGCCAGCCCGUAAGCGGGGCGUGGCUGAGAGCCCGCCGCUUUGGAGGGCUUGGCGCUAGUGCGGAGCGGUGAGGGUGAGCGCCCUGUAAGGAGGGCUCCGCUGCCGGGCUGUGGAGAGUCAUUCCUGUUGCUGUGGGGGACGGCCGAGCUCUUGGACUCCCCGGGUGUCGACCCGCCUGUAGUCAGGGCCGGGGUCGCGGGGCCUUUGUGCCCAGCUGGCAGCUUGCUCGGGGUGACCGGCCUGUGAGUGGGGCCUAGGUCCGAGUGGCCCCGACGCUGAGAAGAGGAGCCUCCCGCGGGCCCAGGGCUGCCCUGUGACUCGGGGACUGGCUGGGGUGCCGAGGGCUGUGCUGUCCAGCCGGUGGCGCGAGCCGCCUGUAGGCAGGGGUGAAGUCUCUUUGGCCACCGCUGGUCAUGGCCAGCUACGGGUGCCCAGAGUGCCAGCCUCCCAGCCACGCUUCAGCACCGCCCUCGGGCAUCCCGCAGCCCCAGCUGCGGUGCAGGCGGCCGGACACCUGCUGUCCCGAAGACGGGCCAGUCGAGUCGGCAGCAGUUGCUGGUUCACAACACCAGGAAUUGUACCCCCAGGCCUCAAGUCUCCUGCUCAACCCUGCAGUGGCAGGCACCAGGUGCCGCACCUGCUCCAGAUGCGGAAGCAAGUGGGGAAGAAGAUCCUGCCCUGCAAUACGGAUAGCUCUGAUUACUCUCAGCUCCAGAGUCUCGAAGAACAGCUCCCUUCUGGGUCUUUAGAAAGCUUCUGCCUGCACACUUCUGGCAGGGAGAACAGAGAUUUCCCCGUGGCAUACACUUUGCAAAUUUCAAACCCACCUCUGCUUGAAUUCCUGCCAACAAAAUUGCACUACACAUGCAAUUUUAGCUUUGUGCCAGUCACUGGAGUGUUUUGGCUGUGGUGAGGACACAGGUGGUGGUGGGAGCAGAAUGCGUAAGGCGGACUUUCAGGGAGAACCUGAGCUUUUUUGUUCAGGAGUUUGCUGAUGUUGCAUUCUGACUGUGACAGUUUUCCAGCAGGAGUUGGUCAGACUAACACUGCAGGAAGAGUGGCUUAUUUUGCGAAGGCUUGCCUAUGAGGUGCAGUAUGGGAAGUGGGAGAGCAGUUUAGUGCGAAUGGAUGAAAUCUGGGCAGGUUGUAGGUAGGUUUUGAGCAGGUUGUAGGUGCCCGUUAGGUGCAGCGUAGAGGGCAAAGUUGACUUGGUGUGUGUGGUGCAAUGGGAUUGGUGUGGAAAGCUGCUCAGAGGUGGGUUUUGCGAGUGACGCCAAGAUCCACGACCCAGCUGCCUACUUCAGGCCUUUUUCCUCUGCCUACCUGGGCUGAGGAGGGCCGUGCAGAGCUGCACUGUUACCGGGUCCCACAGGAGUGGACCAGUGCCGGCUCGAACCAAGGCAAAUUCCCGAAAAACCGUAACGAAGGGGGAGAAGAUCUGGAGCUGAGUCAGAACAUAGACCACUGUGCAAAGGGGCCACGCUUCAACAGCCAACUACCCCACACUUGGAAGACGGUGGCCCAACACUGGGUGUGUGCGUCACCGUGAGAUUGCAGGAGCAGCUGCAGGAGAAGGCCUGGAUGGAGGGAGUGGCCAAGGCAAGCGGCUCUCAGAGAAGAAAGAAGAGGAAGUCCAUAGUGAGCUUGAAAAGCCAAAGAGGAAGAUUUGAAGGCUGAACGGGGGGGGCCUCAAGAGGGGGCAAGAAGAGAGGAAGGAGAGCGGAAGAGCGGAAGACUGAAGCGGAGGGAAGAGCAAGGCACUCUGGGCACAGGGACCUCCCUGUAAGCAGGGCUCAGGUCCGCUGAGAGCAUCGCUGGCACUGUUGGUGCCCUUUGUUACUUUGCGCUGGGCGCCCUGCCUGCAGCCAGGGCUCGGGUCUUUGAUGUUUCUUGGUGGCCUUUUUGCCACGUGGCUCCUUCAGCUGCCUGGGGAGAGUGACGACCCUGUAAGGAGGGUGAGAGGCGCUCUCCCCUCACCCGCGGGGGAACUUGAGCUCUCUGGACCCCCUUCCCACCCUGUAAGCAGGGGUGGGCCCCUCGCCCCGCGGCUUUCCGCCUGCUGACAACCUGGCCAGCGUGACGGCCCCGUAAGCGGGGUGUCUGUCACAGCAUCUGCCUUUGGGCAAGCUCUGAGGCGCCUGGUGAUGGUGAGGGCUCUGGCCUCCGUGCGAGCUGGGGGCAAGUCGGAGCCUCUCUCGUGCUCGUGGGUGAGCGUCUGGGGGCGUUGAUCUCGGCUGCCCUGGGUCCUCUUGCCCUCCUGGAAAGUCAUGUUUGCGUGCGUGUGCGCGUGUUGGUGUGCGUGCCUGGGGGUGAGUGAGUGAGCGAGCUUGCGCUUAGGCUCCAUGUGCUAAUACUGCAGCGUACCUAACCUACACUUCCCAGGAGAGCAAGCGGAAGUCUGGGUGCAGCAGGAGCUCGAUGCUGCCUGGUGCCCUGCGUCGCGGGAGAGCCCAGGCCUGGCCCUGGCUGCCGGAGGGCAGAGUUAAGCCACUCACAAAGGCGGUGGGCGGUGCGACCUGCCCGUAGUGAGGGCCUAGGUCUCUGCCGGCAUGGCGCUCUGUCCUGCUGGCAGGCUGGCCAGCGUGACAAGCCUGUGAGCAGGGCGAGCGUCACGAGCUGUGGAGCCCCGUGUCACCCGGAGCAGCUUGCCCUCCCCGUAAGUGGGGGCCGGGGUGCCGGCACAGGAGUGCGGCCUGCUGCUGUAGCCAGCAACGAGGAAUGACCCCUCCCUGCCCCUUUAGAAGAGGGCAGGUUGAGGAAGCGCUCUGCAAGAGGGGCCGGCGCAGGACAGCCUGCCGCCUGUUCUCCUGGUGGGACCUGCCCGCGGCCGGGGCUGAGGCGGGUGCCUGGGCUCCCGAAGACGAGGCGUUGUGCGUCAGCCAGCACGGCCAGCCCGUAAGCGGGGCGUGGCUGAGAGCCCGCCGCUUUGGAGGGCUUGGCGCUAGUGCGGAGCGGUGAGGGUGAGCGCCCUGUAAGGAGGGCUCCGCUGCCGGGCUGUGGAGAGUCAUUCCUGUUGCUGUGGGGGACGGCCGAGCUCUUGGACUCCCCGGGUGUCGACCCGCCUGUAGUCAGGGCCGGGGUCGCGGGGCCUUUGUGCCCAGCUGGCAGCUUGCUCGGGGUGACCGGCCUGUGAGUGGGGCCUAGGUCCGAGUGGCCCCGACGCUGAGAAGAGGAGCCUCCCGCGGGCCCAGGGCUGCCCUGUGACUCGGGGACUGGCUGGGGUGCCGAGGGCUGUGCUGUCCAGCCGGUGGCGCGAGCCGCCUGUAGGCAGGGGUGAAGUCUCUUUGGCCACCGCUGGUCAUGGCCAGCUACGGGUGCCCAGAGUGCCAGCCUCCCAGCCACGCUUCAGCACCGCCCUCGGGCAUCCCGCAGCCCCAGCUGCGGUGCAGGCGGCCGGACACCUGCUGUCCCGAAGACGGGCCAGUCGAGUCGGCAGCAGUUGCUGGUUCACAACACCAGGAAUUGUACCCCCAGGCCUCAAGUCUCCUGCUCAACCCUGCAGUGGCAGGCACCAGGUGCCGCACCUGCUCCAGAUGCGGAAGCAAGUGGGGAAGAAGAUCCUGCCCUGCAAUACGGAUAGCUCUGAUUACUCUCAGCUCCAGAGUCUCGAAGAACAGCUCCCUUCUGGGUCUUUAGAAAGCUUCUGCCUGCACACUUCUGGCAGGGAGAACAGAGAUUUCCCCGUGGCAUACACUUUGCAAAUUUCAAACCCACCUCUGCUUGAAUUCCUGCCAACAAAAUUGCACUACACAUGCAAUUUUAGCUUUGUGCCAGUCACUGGAGUGUUUUGGCUGUGGUGAGGACACAGGUGGUGGUGGGAGCAGAAUGCGUAAGGCGGACUUUCAGGGAGAACCUGAGCUUUUUUGUUCAGGAGUUUGCUGAUGUUGCAUUCUGACUGUGACAGUUUUCCAGCAGGAGUUGGUCAGACUAACACUGCAGGAAGAGUGGCUUAUUUUGCGAAGGCUUGCCUAUGAGGUGCAGUAUGGGAAGUGGGAGAGCAGUUUAGUGCGAAUGGAUGAAAUCUGGGCAGGUUGUAGGUAGGUUUUGAGCAGGUUGUAGGUGCCCGUUAGGUGCAGCGUAGAGGGCAAAGUUGACUUGGUGUGUGUGGUGCAAUGGGAUUGGUGUGGAAAGCUGCUCAGAGGUGGGUUUUGCGAGUGACGCCAAGAUCCACGACCCAGCUGCCUACUUCAGGCCUUUUUCCUCUGCCUACCUGGGCUGAGGAGGGCCGUGCAGAGCUGCACUGUUACCGGGUCCCACAGGAGUGGACCAGUGCCGGCUCGAACCAAGGCAAAUUCCCGAAAAACCGUAACGAAGGGGGAGAAGAUCUGGAGCUGAGUCAGAACAUAGACCACUGUGCAAAGGGGCCACGCUUCAACAGCCAACUACCCCACACUUGGAAGACGGUGGCCCAACACUGGGUGUGUGCGUCACCGUGAGAUUGCAGGAGCAGCUGCAGGAGAAGGCCUGGAUGGAGGGAGUGGCCAAGGCAAGCGGCUCUCAGAGAAGAAAGAAGAGGAAGUCCAUAGUGAGCUUGAAAAGCCAAAGAGGAAGAUUUGAAGGCUGAACGGGGGGGGCCUCAAGAGGGGGCAAGAAGAGAGGAAGGAGAGCGGAAGAGCGGAAGACUGAAGCGGAGGGAAGAGCAAGGCACUCUGGGCACAGGGACCUCCCUGUAAGCAGGGCUCAGGUCCGCUGAGAGCAUCGCUGGCACUGUUGGUGCCCUUUGUUACUUUGCGCUGGGCGCCCUGCCUGCAGCCAGGGCUCGGGUCUUUGAUGUUUCUUGGUGGCCUUUUUGCCACGUGGCUCCUUCAGCUGCCUGGGGAGAGUGACGACCCUGUAAGGAGGGUGAGAGGCGCUCUCCCCUCACCCGCGGGGGAACUUGAGCUCUCUGGACCCCCUUCCCACCCUGUAAGCAGGGGUGGGCCCCUCGCCCCGCGGCUUUCCGCCUGCUGACAACCUGGCCAGCGUGACGGCCCCGUAAGCGGGGUGUCUGUCACAGCAUCUGCCUUUGGGCAAGCUCUGAGGCGCCUGGUGAUGGUGAGGGCUCUGGCCUCCGUGCGAGCUGGGGGCAAGUCGGAGCCUCUCUCGUGCUCGUGGGUGAGCGUCUGGGGGCGUUGAUCUCGGCUGCCCUGGGUCCUCUUGCCCUCCUGGAAAGUCAUGUUUGCGUGCGUGUGCGCGUGUUGGUGUGCGUGCCUGGGGGUGAGUGAGUGAGCGAGCUUGCGCUUAGGCUCCAUGUGCUAAUACUGCAGCGUACCUAACCUACACUUCCCAGGAGAGCAAGCGGAAGUCUGGGUGCAGCAGGAGCUCGAUGCUGCCUGGUGCCCUGCGUCGCGGGAGAGCCCAGGCCUGGCCCUGGCUGCCGGAGGGCAGAGUUAAGCCACUCACAAAGGCGGUGGGCGGUGCGACCUGCCCGUAGUGAGGGCCUAGGUCUCUGCCGGCAUGGCGCUCUGUCCUGCUGGCAGGCUGGCCAGCGUGACAAGCCUGUGAGCAGGGCGAGCGUCACGAGCUGUGGAGCCCCGUGUCACCCGGAGCAGCUUGCCCUCCCCGUAAGUGGGGGCCGGGGUGCCGGCACAGGAGUGCGGCCUGCUGCUGUAGCCAGCAACGAGGAAUGACCCCUCCCUGCCCCUUUAGAAGAGGGCAGGUUGAGGAAGCGCUCUGCAAGAGGGGCCGGCGCAGGACAGCCUGCCGCCUGUUCUCCUGGUGGGACCUGCCCGCGGCCGGGGCUGAGGCGGGUGCCUGGGCUCCCGAAGACGAGGCGUUGUGCGUCAGCCAGCACGGCCAGCCCGUAAGCGGGGCGUGGCUGAGAGCCCGCCGCUUUGGAGGGCUUGGCGCUAGUGCGGAGCGGUGAGGGUGAGCGCCCUGUAAGGAGGGCUCCGCUGCCGGGCUGUGGAGAGUCAUUCCUGUUGCUGUGGGGGACGGCCGAGCUCUUGGACUCCCCGGGUGUCGACCCGCCUGUAGUCAGGGCCGGGGUCGCGGGGCCUUUGUGCCCAGCUGGCAGCUUGCUCGGGGUGACCGGCCUGUGAGUGGGGCCUAGGUCCGAGUGGCCCCGACGCUGAGAAGAGGAGCCUCCCGCGGGCCCAGGGCUGCCCUGUGACUCGGGGACUGGCUGGGGUGCCGAGGGCUGUGCUGUCCAGCCGGUGGCGCGAGCCGCCUGUAGGCAGGGGUGAAGUCUCUUUGGCCACCGCUGGUCAUGGCCAGCUACGGGUGCCCAGAGUGCCAGCCUCCCAGCCACGCUUCAGCACCGCCCUCGGGCAUCCCGCAGCCCCAGCUGCGGUGCAGGCGGCCGGACACCUGCUGUCCCGAAGACGGGCCAGUCGAGUCGGCAGCAGUUGCUGGUUCACAACACCAGGAAUUGUACCCCCAGGCCUCAAGUCUCCUGCUCAACCCUGCAGUGGCAGGCACCAGGUGCCGCACCUGCUCCAGAUGCGGAAGCAAGUGGGGAAGAAGAUCCUGCCCUGCAAUACGGAUAGCUCUGAUUACUCUCAGCUCCAGAGUCUCGAAGAACAGCUCCCUUCUGGGUCUUUAGAAAGCUUCUGCCUGCACACUUCUGGCAGGGAGAACAGAGAUUUCCCCGUGGCAUACACUUUGCAAAUUUCAAACCCACCUCUGCUUGAAUUCCUGCCAACAAAAUUGCACUACACAUGCAAUUUUAGCUUUGUGCCAGUCACUGGAGUGUUUUGGCUGUGGUGAGGACACAGGUGGUGGUGGGAGCAGAAUGCGUAAGGCGGACUUUCAGGGAGAACCUGAGCUUUUUUGUUCAGGAGUUUGCUGAUGUUGCAUUCUGACUGUGACAGUUUUCCAGCAGGAGUUGGUCAGACUAACACUGCAGGAAGAGUGGCUUAUUUUGCGAAGGCUUGCCUAUGAGGUGCAGUAUGGGAAGUGGGAGAGCAGUUUAGUGCGAAUGGAUGAAAUCUGGGCAGGUUGUAGGUAGGUUUUGAGCAGGUUGUAGGUGCCCGUUAGGUGCAGCGUAGAGGGCAAAGUUGACUUGGUGUGUGUGGUGCAAUGGGAUUGGUGUGGAAAGCUGCUCAGAGGUGGGUUUUGCGAGUGACGCCAAGAUCCACGACCCAGCUGCCUACUUCAGGCCUUUUUCCUCUGCCUACCUGGGCUGAGGAGGGCCGUGCAGAGCUGCACUGUUACCGGGUCCCACAGGAGUGGACCAGUGCCGGCUCGAACCAAGGCAAAUUCCCGAAAAACCGUAACGAAGGGGGAGAAGAUCUGGAGCUGAAUCAGAACAUAGACCACUGUGCAAAGGGGCCACGCUUCAACAGCCAACUACCCCACACUUGGAAGACGGUGGCCCAACACUGGGUGUGUGCGUCACCGUGAGAUUGCAGGAGCAGCUGCAGGAGAAGGCCUGGAUGGAGGGAGUGGCCAAGGCAAGCGGCUCUCAGAGAAGAAAGAAGAGGAAGUCCAUAGUGAGCUUGAAAAGCCAAAGAGGAAGAUUUGAAGGCUGAACGGGGGGGGCCUCAAGAGGGGGCAAGAAGAGAGGAAGGAGAGCGGAAGAGCGGAAGACUGAAGCGGAGGGAAGAGCAAGGCACUCUGGGCACAGGGACCUCCCUGUAAGCAGGGCUCAGGUCCGCUGAGAGCAUCGCUGGCACUGUUGGUGCCCUUUGUUACUUUGCGCUGGGCGCCCUGCCUGCAGCCAGGGCUCGGGUCUUUGAUGUUUCUUGGUGGCCUUUUUGCCACGUGGCUCCUUCAGCUGCCUGGGGAGAGUGACGACCCUGUAAGGAGGGUGAGAGGCGCUCUCCCCUCACCCGCGGGGGAACUUGAGCUCUCUGGACCCCCUUCCCACCCUGUAAGCAGGGGUGGGCCCCUCGCCCCGCGGCUUUCCGCCUGCUGACAACCUGGCCAGCGUGACGGCCCCGUAAGCGGGGUGUCUGUCACAGCAUCUGCCUUUGGGCAAGCUCUGAGGCGCCUGGUGAUGGUGAGGGCUCUGGCCUCCGUGCGAGCUGGGGGCAAGUCGGAGCCUCUCUCGUGCUCGUGGGUGAGCGUCUGGGGGCGUUGAUCUCGGCUGCCCUGGGUCCUCUUGCCCUCCUGGAAAGUCAUGUUUGCGUGCGUGUGCGCGUGUUGGUGUGCGUGCCUGGGGGUGAGUGAGUGAGCGAGCUUGCGCUUAGGCUCCAUGUGCUAAUACUGCAGCGUACCUAACCUACACUUCCCAGGAGAGCAAGCGGAAGUCUGGGUGCAGCAGGAGCUCGAUGCUGCCUGGUGCCCUGCGUCGCGGGAGAGCCCAGGCCUGGCCCUGGCUGCCGGAGGGCAGAGUUAAGCCACUCACAAAGGCGGUGGGCGGUGCGACCUGCCCGUAGUGAGGGCCUAGGUCUCUGCCGGCAUGGCGCUCUGUCCUGCUGGCAGGCUGGCCAGCGUGACAAGCCUGUGAGCAGGGCGAGCGUCACGAGCUGUGGAGCCCCGUGUCACCCGGAGCAGCUUGCCCUCCCCGUAAGUGGGGGCCGGGGUGCCGGCACAGGAGUGCGGCCUGCUGCUGUAGCCAGCAACGAGGAAUGACCCCUCCCUGCCCCUUUAGAAGAGGGCAGGUUGAGGAAGCGCUCUGCAAGAGGGGCCGGCGCAGGACAGCCUGCCGCCUGUUCUCCUGGUGGGACCUGCCCGCGGCCGGGGCUGAGGCGGGUGCCUGGGCUCCCGAAGACGAGGCGUUGUGCGUCAGCCAGCACGGCCAGCCCGUAAGCGGGGCGUGGCUGAGAGCCCGCCGCUUUGGAGGGCUUGGCGCUAGUGCGGAGCGGUGAGGGUGAGCGCCCUGUAAGGAGGGCUCCGCUGCCGGGCUGUGGAGAGUCAUUCCUGUUGCUGUGGGGGACGGCCGAGCUCUUGGACUCCCCGGGUGUCGACCCGCCUGUAGUCAGGGCCGGGGUCGCGGGGCCUUUGUGCCCAGCUGGCAGCUUGCUCGGGGUGACCGGCCUGUGAGUGGGGCCUAGGUCCGAGUGGCCCCGACGCUGAGAAGAGGAGCCUCCCGCGGGCCCAGGGCUGCCCUGUGACUCGGGGACUGGCUGGGGUGCCGAGGGCUGUGCUGUCCAGCCGGUGGCGCGAGCCGCCUGUAGGCAGGGGUGAAGUCUCUUUGGCCACCGCUGGUCAUGGCCAGCUACGGGUGCCCAGAGUGCCAGCCUCCCAGCCACGCUUCAGCACCGCCCUCGGGCAUCCCGCAGCCCCAGCUGCGGUGCAGGCGGCCGGACACCUGCUGUCCCGAAGACGGGCCAGUCGAGUCGGCAGCAGUUGCUGCACCUGAACAGAUGGCAAAACAACUGGACUAGAAGAUCCUUCCAACCAAUGCAGCGACUAUGGAGUACUUUCAGCUUCACGGUACUGAAGAGCAUUUCCUUUUGUGUCUUUACACAACUUCUGCAGGUACGUCUCCCAGUGAGAACACUGGUUAUUUAAUAAAUGCCAUGUAAAACUAUCGGUUGUACACUUAGCGACUUUCAAACCCAAUUCUGCUUUAAUUCACAUCAACAAAAUUGCACUGCACAAUUGCACCAAUUACUGGAGAGCUUUGCUUGUGUACAUAGUGUGUCUUUGCAAAUAGGGUAAAGUGAAGGCUCUGUGAGAAUGUGAAAGUUUCUAUGUAGAAGUUUGUUUAUGGUGUAGGUAUUACUGGGCAUGAUUUCAUGCAGGAUUUUGAUGGUGAAGUGUUAUUGAGGGUGAUUUCGUGUAGGAGUUUGGUGAUGGUGAAGUAUUGUCGUGGAUGAUUUCGUGUAGGAGUUUGGUGAUGGUGGAGUGUUGUGGAUGAUUUUGUGUAGGAGUUUGAUGGUAGUUUAUUUUGUGAUGGCUUGUCCUUAAAGUACAAUGUGGAAAGUAGGUCUCUAGUGUGAACAGAUGGAAACUGAACACUUUGUAGGGAACUGCUGGGUGCAGCAUAGAGGACAAAAUUGAAGUUGACUGUGUGGUGUAAUUGGACUGUUGUGGAAAGCUAAUUUGAAGUUGGGUUUUGAAAGUGAUCCAAAGACUCAAGACCUAGCUGGCUACUUCAGCCCUUUUUUCUGUCUAACUGGGCUGGGGGAGGGGGCUAUGCAUAAAUGAAGUAUUACCAGGCACCUCACUGCACUCCCAAAUUUCAGCAAAUUCAAGAAAAACUGUAAUGAUUCAAGAAUGAUAUGGUCUUGAGCAAUUAACACCUAUUAAAGCAAGCGUGAGUUCUCCUCAGUCCAGAGAAGACUGAGGUAAAAGUGCCAGUUUCUCUCUUAAAUUAAUCACAAGUCUCAUUCCAUUACAUGGUAUUGUAAGUUAUCAAAAUUAAUUACAUAUUAAAAUAACAUGGUAAGAAUUAAGUCAUUUUAAGUUCAAAAAGAUGUUAGAGCUUGUCUUAGCUAAACAAGAAGGAAAGCAAAACACCUGUAAACUUUGUAGUGAAAAUGAAAUAAAAACUGCCUUGU